rnacentral:lncRNA from 1 species
ACAUCCACGGUCUAAAAUGUGUGUGUGUGAGAGAGAGAGCGCACGGCAAAGCCUGGCGGCCAAGCGCGCACCGACGCUGGCCGCCGUUUAGAACUCUGUGGGACGACUCUCAUAGAGCAGCAGGUCGCAGCACACGCAGAGCAAACCGGCAAGCAUCAAGGAGAAUACAGCCAGGUAUGAAUCCCCUAGAGCCGUGAGUCUCUUGCUCCUCUUUUCCCUCCUCUUCUUCUGUACAAAUCCAAGGCUCACUCUCGCCAGGUCCAUAGGCCACUAAUGAAAUUGCCGAGUUCUAGUAGAGUUGGAAGCUCAAGUGCUAUCAUCUUUAUAGGUUCUCUAAAUUAACCAUUCUAGCUAUCCGUACUUCAACAAAACAGUAGAGAUCGAGAAUUUACUAAUACUGACAUUGAUUCUAGAUUAUUUGCAGAAGAAAUUGGUUAC